ACACACUGUCCCCUUGGAGCACCGAACAUCGCUACAGGUGGGUCUCCUGAUAGAGGUCUUGAUUUGGACACAAUGAGGCCAUCCAUCCACCAUCUGGCACACGGUUCCCAUCUGACACUGAACAUCCUGGCAUGAGGGCUGGUUCUGAACACAAUGGGGCCAUCCAUCUGUCAUCCUACACGACGUCCCUUUGGGACACUGCAUGUCCUUGCAAGAAGGCUGCUUUGGGACCACCUUGGGUUGAACGCAUUGAGGCCAUCCAUCCACUAUCUGACACACCGUCCCCUUGGAGCACCGAACGUCACUACAGGUGGGUCUCCUGAUGGAAGUCUUGAUUUGGACACAAUGAGGCCAUCCAUCCACCAUCUGGCACACAGUUCCCUUCUGACACUGGACAUCCUGGCAGGAGGGCUGGUUCUGCACACAGUGGGGCCACCCAUCUGUCAUCCUACACGACGUCCCUUUGGGGCACUGAAUGUCCUUGCAAGAAGGCUGCUUUGGGACCACCUUGGGUUGCAAACAUUGAGGCCAUCCAUCCACCAUCUCACACACUGUCCCCUUGGAGCAGUGAACAUCACUGCAGGUGGGUCUCCUGAUGGAACUCUUCAUCUGGACACAAUGAGGCCAUCCAUCCACCAUCUGGCACACGGUUCCCUUCUGACACUGAACAUCCUGGCAGGAGGGCUGGUUCUGCACACAGUGGGGCCACCCAUCUGUCAUUCUGCAUGAGGUCCCUUUUGGGCACUGCAUGUCCCUGCAUGAAGGCUGCCUUGGGACCACCUUGGGUUGAAUGCACUGAGGCCAACCAUCCACCAUCUCACACACUGAACCUUUGGAGCACCGAACAUCGCUACAGGUGGGUCUCCUGAUAGAGGUCUUGAUUUGGACACAAUGAGGCCAUCCAUCCACCAUCUGGCACACAGUUCCCUUCUGACAUUGGACGUCCUGGCAGGAGGGCUGGUUCUGCACACAGUGGGGCCACCCAUCUGUCAUCCUACACGAG
ensembl:lncRNA